GACGAACGCUGGCGGCGUGCUUAACACAUGCAAGUCGAACGGAAAGGCCCUGCUUUUGUGGGGUGCUCGAGUGGCGAACGGGUGAGUAACACGUGAGUAACCUGCCCUUGACUUUGGGAUAACUUCAGGAAACUGGGGCUCAUACCGGAUAGGAGCUCCUGCUGCAUGGUGGGGGUUGGAAAGUUUCGGCGGUUGGGGAUGGACUCGCGGCUUAUCAGCUUGUUGGUGGGGUAGUGGCUUACCAAGGCUUUGACGGGUAGCCGGCCUGAGAGGGUGGCCGGCCACAUGGGGACUGAGAUAGGGCCCAGACGCCUACGGGAGGCAGCAGGGGGGAGUAUUGCACAAUGGGCGGAAGCCUGAUGCAGCAACGCCGCGUGCGGGAUGACGUGCUUCGGGUUGUAAACCGCUUUCGCCUGUGACGAAGCGGGAGUGACGGUAAUGGGUAAAGAAGCAACGGCUAACUACGUG
rnacentral:rRNA from 1 species